CCUGCAUCAUCGCUCAACUGUAUUUCCUGACCGGAAGUAGAAAACUCCCAAGCAACCACGCGUAUUGUCCACAUUUUCUUUACGUCAUUGGCGUCUUUUUACGACCUACCCAUACUGCCCCGCGGAGCUCAUAUAAAACCCCUAAAUUGUGAGCGUUAGCUCCUUUUUGAUGCUGGGGUGAGAGGAACAAAGUAGAAGACGAUGUGGAAAGCUGAUCCUAGGGGUGGCACAUGUGGUGUGCUGUGCAAUGCUGGCGUAUGCACAAAAGAUUAUUUCAACGAUGUGAGACAAAAAAGAAGACGCGUGGAGGAGAAGGGAACACGGAAUUCCUUCGUUGCCCAUUGAAAGGUCUUGAUCCUUUUGGAGAUGGAGUGUAA
rnacentral:lncRNA from 1 species